rnacentral:rRNA from 1 species
CAGCAGCCACGGUAACACGUAGGUGGCGAGCGUUGUCCGGAAUUAUUGGGCGUAAAGGGAGCGCAGGCGGGCGAGUAAGUCUUUCUUAAAAGUGCGGGGCUCAACCCCGUGAGGGGAGGGAAACUACUCAUCUUGAGUGCAGGAGAGGAAAGCGGAACUCCUAGUGUAGCGGUGAAAUGCGUAGAUAUUAGGAAGAACACCAGUGGCGAAGGCGGCUCACUGGUCCAUUACUGACGCUGAGGUGCGAAAGCGUGGGGAGCAAACAGGAUUAGAUACCCGCGUAGUCCCUGUCUCUUAUACA